rfam:Mycosphaerella eumusae strain CBS 114824 scaffold434, whole genome shotgun sequence.
AUAAAGUAUAUAAAGAAACUAUUAUGGAUGAAUUGCUAUGUAUCAUAAAGAAAAGCGUUUAUAGAUUAUACUCGUAAGUCGUUGGCGCCGGUCGUUGGAUGCUGUGUGAUAAAAACAUUGUUAAUUUAUUUUAGCAAUUGUAAAUCUAGGAUAAAUCCAAUUUUUUAACGAAGUAAAUUGAAAUAUCUUAUUAACUUCAGGAAAAGAAAUCAAAUGAGAUUAUUCUUCACGUAAAAAAUGAAAGAUAAAAGUCUUUAAAGUAAAAUGGAAAUAAUCUGUUUGAAUAUAGGGAAACCUUUCUCUAAGACUAAAUAAUGAUAUAGCAUACAUGAUAAGCAACAGAACAUUAGUACCGUAAGGGAACUAUCUGAAAUAGUAGUUUUAUAAGCAGCUCAAAUUUAAACUAAAAAAUAUACGAGAGCGUACCUUUUGCAUAAUGGGUCAGUAAGUUAAUAUUAGAUGCGAGAUUACUUUUUUCUUUUUUAGAAAAAUCUUAUCCCAGAUAAACCAAUUAUUAAAUAAUGAAUAAGUAUCUAGGAUUAGACCCGAAGCCUAGUGAUCUUACCAUGAUCAGGGUUAUAAAAGCUCGAACAGGUUAUCGUUGUAAAGAUAUCUGAUGAAUUGUGGUAAGUUAGUGAAAGACAAAACUGACUAGGAUAGCUGGUUUUCCGCGAAACCUAUAUAAGUAGGUAGUUUAAAAGUUAUCAUUUUUUUUUAUUACAUUUUUUUUUAUUAAAAAAAAAAAUGCAUAAAAUGCAUUUUACGUUUUUUUUUUAGGCGGUAAAUAAUUUUAUUAAAAAGUUGGUAAAAUAGAAACAGUAUGCCUCGGUGUUAUUAGGAAUAACUUUGCAUACAUGGUUUUUUUCUAUAUUUAGAAAAAAAAAACGAACCCUAGCUAUUAAACGAAUAUUAUUAUAGUUUUCAAUAUAAACUAUAAAAUGUGAUAAUUCUUUAAUUUUCUAGUUCUAUAAAGAGAGCAAGAUGGAUAUUUCAGUUAUAAAAAUAAUUGAGGAAGAGAACAACUUGGAUAUUUCAGUUAUAAAAAUAAUUGAGGAAGAGAACAAGAAACAAGAUAGAUAUUUCAGUUAUAAAAAUAAUUGAGGAAGAGCGUUUGUCGAUUAGAGGAAGAUUCAAUAAAAAAAAUAUUAUUUGGUUCAGGUUACAUCAAAAAAAAAAAAUAAAUUUAUAAUAUAUAAUUCGGUUUACACUAGAUCCUAGAUCGCAAUAAGAAAAAUAACGGAAACUAAAACUAAAAUAUUUUAGUUUAAUUAAGGAUGGCUAAAAUUUACCUUUAAAGAUCCCUAUAUACUUUGUAUAUUAUAAGUAAUAUAACUAUUACUUAUAAUACUUAUAAUAUUACUAUGUUAUAAGUAAAAUAAAUAUUACUUAUAAUACUUAUAACAUUACAUAGUAAUGUUAUAAGUAAAAUAUAUAUUGCUUAUUUACUCUUUUUUUUUUACGACUUAUCUUAAAUUCGACUACUUAACGACCAAAGUUUUUUUUUAUAAAAAAUGAUAAUUACAUCGUUGCAGGUACAGAAUUGUGAUCUCAGGCAAAUUUUGAUUUAAAGCAUUGUUUAAUAAACAUGCAAAAUCUGUUUGUAUACAUUGGGGGAUCGUGAAGAUUUUAUCAGCGAGGAUUUGCUCUCGGAAGGGCAACGAUGAAUGUUAAACUGUCGGACAUAGUACGAUAAGGUUGUAUGUCUAAAGGGAAACAGCCCAGAACAAGAGUUAAAGGUUCCAAAAUUAUUGUUAAGUGAAAUUAAGGUAGUUUUUUUCAAAUACAACGAGUAAAUAGGCUUAGAAGCGGCCAUUUUUUAAAGAUCUCGUAACAGAGCACUGGUUUAUUAUAAAAGUUAAACGCACCGAAAAUAUAACGGAUCUGAAACAGUAUACCGAAACCUUGUACAUAAUUAAAACUAAGGUAAUGAGUUAUUUUAAUUCUUUUUUUUUUAAGAAAAAAAAAUUUGCAAAAUAAAGUAAUGUUUAUAUAACUAUACUCCUCCUUUUUAAUAAUAAUUAUUUAUUAUAAACUUUAUAAAGAAAGUAAAUUAAAAAGGCAAAAGAUUAAUAGUUAUAUAAAUAGACAUAGUAUAUAACUAUGCUGUUACUUUUUAGUAAGACUUAUUUAUUAUAAACUUUAUAAAGUAAAUUAAAAAGGCAAAUCAUUAAUAGCUAUAUAAAUAGACAUAGUAUAUAACUAUGCUGUUACUUUUUAGUAAGACUUAUUUAUUAUAAACUUUAUAAAGUAAAUUAAAAAGGCAAAUCAUUAAUAGCUAUAUAAAUAGACAUAGUAUAUAACUAUGCUGUUACUUUUUAGUAAGACUUAUUUAUUAUAAACUUUAUAAAGUAAAUUAAAAAGGCAAAUCAUUAAUAGCUAUAUAAAUAUAUAUUUAUAUAAUCAUUAAUAGUUAUAUUUAUGGGGUAGCGGAACGUUGGGUUAAUUCUUAUAAUUUAUAUCCUUGAUAUAAAUUAUCUUUAGGGUCAAUAAUAAAAUAAAUAAUGCUAUUUUUUUUUAAGCCAUAGAGACUAUCCCAAGUGAUAAUGCUGACAUGAGUAACGAAAAAGGGUAACCCCCUCGCCUUAAGCUUAUGGUAUUAACACCGUAAUUAAAGUAACGGCCCCUAAGUUUAUAAACCUUUCCUAAAGGAUUAAAUGAUGGGUGAAUCUCGCGUAUAUUUAACAUUUAUGAAUUAGUGUAGGAUUAUUAAUCUAAAGUGAUAAAUGUUCUGGAAAAAAUAUAUGCUGGUAUUUUUAUAUAUUGUAUUGACCGUACCUAGACACUACCACAAGUAAGCAAGUAGAGAAUACAAAGGCGUUUGAGAUAACAAUCAUUAAGGAACUCGGCAAAUUGACUCCGUAACUUCGGGAUAAGGUGUGCCAUUAUUAUUAAGUAAUAAGAGGAGACAUAAAAUGGUGUUGUACGACUGUUUAAUUAAAACAAAGCACUUUGCAUAAGAUAAUAAAUCAAAGUAUUGAGUGUGAUUUCUGCCCAAUGUUGGCUGGUUAACGAAUUUUCUUAGUCAAAUAACACUAGGCUAGGUUUUGAAGGAACCCCCAAUCAAUGGCGGCCUUACCGAUGAGGGUCCUAAGGUAGCGGAAUACCCUGGCCGUUAAAUGCGGUCUUGCAUGAAUGAUUUAACGAUACAACAGCUGUCUCAAUGAUUGUCUCAGUGAAAUUGGAAUAACUGUGCAGAUACAGUUUUCUUCUAGUUAGACGAGAAGACCCUAUGCAGCUUUACUGUUGCUAGUAAUUGAAUAUAAUAAAACAAGUUGUAGUAUAUAAGGUUAUUGAUAGGAUGAUAGUGAAAUACCUUUACUUAGUUUAUUAUAUUAUUGGAAUAGUGGAUAUAAGUUUUUAGUAUCGGACUAUUGUUUAUUACCGAAAGGGAGUAAACAGCUUUUUAUUAUAUUAUAUUAUAUUAUAUUAUAUUAUAUUAUAUUAUAUUAUAUUAUAUUAUAUUAUAUUAUAUUAGAAUUAAGGACUUCUUUGUAAUAGACAGUGUAGAGCUUAAGAUAAAGAGUUAAGUAAUCCUUUGGGAUGGACAGUGUAGAGCUUAAGAGAAAGAGAAAAAAACUUCAUAUUCAUUUAGUAUCCAUAUGCUUAUCUGAAAGGUUAAUAAUAAAGGUUUAUGUAAAAAAUAUCUCUUUUUUUUUAUAUUUUAUUUUUUAUAAAAUGAGACAUUUGCUAGUGGACAGUUUAUGCGGGGCACAGAUCCCAUAAAAAGUACCUGGGUGUAUCCAAAGUUAAAAUUGUAAAUUCAUUAAAAUUUAUUAAUGAUUUUGUCUUGUUAUUAUUGUGUUUAUAACUAUUAAAUAUAAGGCACUAUUUUUACUUUGUAAUAGAUUAUUUUAUGAUUUAUUCACUUAUAUUUCUAUUAAGUUAGAUUAAUUAUAUUUUAUUUUUUUAAGUAAGGUUUUAACUAUAUGGAAAAUAGAUGUUUAACUUGUCUUUUCUAUCAGUUAAUUUUUUUUUAUUAUAAAAAAAAAUUUUAAAGAUAAAAAAGAUGAUUUUUAAUAUUUACUGUUAAAGUUUAAUGGCUUAACCUUGCUUUACUGUUUGACUUACAUGUCUAUCAGUCGCGUAAGCGGGGCAUACGAUCACAAGAUGCAGAAAGGAAAGGUCUUGGAUUUUUGAAAAAAGCUACGCUAGGGAUAACAGGCUAAUUGCGCCAGAGAGUACAAAUUGAGUGCGCAGUUUGGCACCUCGAUGUCGGCUUAGCUCAUCCACAUGAAUGUAGGAAUCAUGAAGGGUACGACUGUUCGUCGGUUAAAGAGCUACACGAGCUGGGUUAAAUACGUCGUGAGACAGUAUGGUUUCUAUCUUCUAGAAGUAAUUAGAGUAAAACAAGGAUAGCCCCUUCGUACGAAAGGAGUUGGGUAUGGUAACCUCUGGUUUAUUUGUUGUUUAAUUUGAUACCUAUCGAAAGGAGUCGCUAACCGUUCCCGACAUUUUUUCGCUCUCGAUAUUUUUUUUUUUAAUAAAAUAUAUUUAUAUGGGGACCCCCAAAGAUAAGAAUAUUACAGCGUUAUUAAACAUUGACGGGGAUUGCAGAGGGCGUAGGAUGUACCAUUACUAAGGUAUAUGACCAAUAGGCACAGCAAUAAAGCUACGUUAGUCAUAAAUAAGCGCUGAAUGCAUAUAGGCACGAAGUUUGUCUUGAGAUACUCUUAAAUAUACGUAAUACAAUAUUACGAAUCGUAAACUUGCGAUUGUAUAGGUUUUGGUUUAAAGGAUUUUAAUUUCUUCAGAUACAAUAUACUAAUUUUAUUAAAUACUAAAUUU